AGAGUUUGAUCCUGGCUCAGAAUCAACGCUGGCGGCGCGCUUAACACAUGCAAGUCGCACGAGAAAGUGGGAAACCAUGAGUACAGUGGCGUACGGGUGAGUAACACGUGGGUAAUCUACCUCUGAGUGGGGAAUAACCCUGGGAAACCGGGGCUAAUACCGCAUAAUCUCGAGAGAGGAGAGCAGCAAUGCGCUGAGAGAGGAGCCCGCGGCCGAUUAGCUAGUUGGUAGGGUAAGAGCCUACCAAGGCAGAGAUCGGUAGCCGGCCUGAGAGGGCACACGGCCACACUGGCACUGAAACACGGGCCAGACUCCUACGGGAGGCAGCAGUGGGGAAUCUUGCACAAUGGGGGAAACCCUGAUGCAGCGACGCCGCGUGAGCGAUGAAGCCCUUCGGGGUGUAAAGCUCUUUCGUCAGGGAAGAUGAUGACGGUACCUGGAGAAGCAGCUGCGGCUAACUACGUGCCAGCAGCCGCGGUAAUACGUAGGCAGCGAGCGUUGUUCGGAGUUACUGGGCGUAAAGGGUGUGUAGGCGGUUCUUUAAGUUUGGUGUGAAAUCUCCCGGCUCAACCGGGAGGGUGCGCCGAAUACUGAGGGACUUGGAGUGCGGGAGAGGAAAGUGGAAUUCCUGGUGUAGCGGUGAAAUGCGUAGAUAUCAGGAGGAACACCGGUGGUGUAGACGGCUUUCUGGACCGUAACUGACGCUGAGACACGAAAGCGUGGGUAGCAAACAGGAUUAGAUACCCUGGUAGUCCACGCCCUAAACGAUGCAUAUUUGGUGUGGGUCAUUCAGUUGAUCCGUGCCGGAGCUAACGCGUUAAAUAUGCCGCCUGGGGAGUACAGUCGCAAGGCUGAAACUCAAAGGAAUUGACGGGGCCCGCACAAGCGGUGGAGCAUGUGGUUCAAUUCGACGCAACGCGAAGAA
rnacentral:rRNA from 1 species